rnacentral:rRNA from 1 species
CACGUAGGGCGCAAGCGUUGUCCGGAAUUAUUGGGCGUAAAGAGCUCGUAGGCGGUCUGUUACGUCUGCUGUGAAAACCCGGGGCUUAACCCUGGGCUUGCAGUGGAUACGGGCAGACUAGAGGCAGGUAGGGGAGAAUGGAAUUCCCGGUGUAGCGGUGAAAUGCGCAGAUAUCGGGAGGAACACCGGUGGCGAAGGCGGUUCUCUGGGACGGUACUGACGCUGAGACGCGAAAGCGUGGGGAGCAAACAGG